CGGCGUCCUCGACCGCGGCCCAAUGAGAAGACAGCAGAUAAUUUAUUCUCUAAUCCCGGUUCGGGUGCCGGGCGCGGGCGAGUGGCGUGGGCUGGGGGGUGGGGUGGUCCCCUGGUCCUCUCUCCCGCUCCCGCGGCCACCCCUCCCCCGCCCGCGGGCUCGGGCCGCGCACACACGCACACACACACACACACACGCACACACACACACAUUUCCUGACAAUUAGCGAGCACACCUUGGCCGCGCGGCCUCCGGCGGCAGCAGCGCCACCGCCGCUUUUGUCUCCCGCCCGCCGGGCGCAAAGUUGCCGCCGCGCCGCGCCGCGCCGCUCCGGCUGCCGGCAACCCGCCGCCGUCGGGGGGCGUGGAGGGCGGGUGGGCCGGGCGCCGGGCCGGGCUGUGGGGCCGCAAAAGAGAAGCGGAAGAAAAGUAAGGCAGCGCUGGCCCCUUCCUUUGUUACAGCCCUGAGUGUGAGCGCGCGCGGGAGUGCCGAUGCGCGCCGGGCGGGCGGUGCGUGUGAGUGUGCGUGUGUGCGCGCGCGUGUGUAAGGGCGCGCGUGUGGGUGCGGGUCGGGAUGCGAAGGAGGUGGCAGCACGGGGCAGGGAGCGGGACCCGCUUCCCGGGCUUUCUCGCCCGCGCACAACUCGAGCGUGCGGGCAGGUAGCUGGCCGCCUCCGGCUCCUCCCGGGACGCAGCCAGCGGCUGCUCUCAGAAGGAAACCCGAUCGGGGCUGGGAUCGGGCGGGCUGCGGGGCCAGGGCUGGAGGGAGGCGGCCCGCGAGGGUCUGCCCCGCCGCAGGGGACGCCGGAGGAGCCGGCGAUGGCCCCUGCGAGCCCCGGAGGGCGCGAGGCUUUGGAGGUGGUUUGUGAGGCCAAGGGAGCAAGCAGGAGAGGGGCGGGGGCGAGACGAAGUCUGUCUAAAUGCCAGUUCCCUGAAGUUCAGCGCGUCGGUUGUCAUUUCAUCCCUUAAUGCAUAUUUAUGCCAUGCCGAAAUAGGCUUCAUAAUUAACUCCCGGAGUCAUCCGCAGAGGUUAAAGGGACCCCGAAGAUUUGUGCAUUGAUUGGGUACCCAGGCAGUUUGUGAGCGUGUGUGUGUGUGUGUGUGUGUGUGUGUACGCGCGCGCGCCCCGUGCGAACCCAUUGAGAAGAAUAAUUAUUUUUCUCCGCUGGAAGCUACAGCCGAGAAUCAGACCGGGAGGGAAGAGAGAGGUGGGAGAGGGAGAGGGAAAGAGGGAGACAAAGGAAGUGAGUGCAAGAGAGGAGCCGGCUCAGCAUCCGAACUUUCAGGUAGCUCCCUGGAAGAAGAAACUCCACCCACGUCCAUCUCACCUUCAGCCAUUUCGUGAUUCCAGAUGCUUCUUCUCCCUGGAGGCUGGAGUCUGUAACCACAGAGGCCCCUGCCAGCACACAGUCCCCAGCACUGACUGCUGUGUUGAUCCAAGCCUCCUUGCCCCGAUUUAAGGCAAGCACCCUGCCAUCAUGCCAGCUCCACUGUAAGAGAUGGUCGAUUAUUGUUGAGAGGAAUUCUUCAGUCCUGGCUUUCAAAGCAAGAGGCUCUGCUCAUUGAAACCCAAGCUCACCCUGCCUCCCUGGAAGAGGAAUUCGGCUUGGAAUACCUGAGGUGGCUGUCGGAACCCCCUUUGUCUUGCAGCUGAGGCUCUGAGGCCCGUGGCUUCGGGAACAGAGCAGAGAUGGUGAACGGCUCAACCUGAGGCUGACAGCUGCUGGUCUUUGCUUUGGCUGAUUCUCCUUUGCAAAUGGUUAUUGGCAACUGAAACUGCAAAAUCUACUAUCUGCUCCCCUAUGUAAAUUGCAUUUACAUUUAAAUUGUAUAUUCUUCCGAAGGACGGGGUUAGUAAAUAACUGGCAGAUUAAGCUUGAGGAGAGGAAAUUGUGCCCAUAUCAAAUCUGAGACUGAAGUGACAUCUGGCUUUUACUAUUUCCAUUAUUUUGGUUUAAUAACAGCGUGUGGCAUUAAGGGAAGAGAAAUUGGAUCUACAUUUUAAUGAAAGGAGGAAACUCUCAGGGUUUAGAUACCUUAUCAUAUUGAAUACCUAGUCGAUUGGCAAUUAAACCUGCCUCAAGAAUGGGAUGGAAUGCCUUCUCCGCUCUAUGGAGAGAAUAGAAACAAAACCAAACCAAAGCCCAGAACCACACAGAUAAGACUGGCAGAAAGGCUGUGCACACUGAUGCCGAAUAUUCAGGAUUUCACACAGGAAUCCUCGCAUGGAACAAUGCUGACAAUAGCUCUAUGCAUAUGCAUGAGGGGAGCUCAGAAAGGAGAGCUGCAGACUCCAAGCUCUGUCUGAAGGCUCAACCCACAUAUGCUGUGGAAGUCAGUCCGGGCAGGUUGAUCUUUUUUAACCCCACUGGCUUCAAAUCCCAGGGUUUUGAUCAAGGAAAACAAACAAACAAACAAACACCAUGCCUGUCUCAUUUCAACAGCCUCCCUGUUUACAAUAGAAGCAAUUCCACCUGCUGGCUGAUUUUUGUUGCAAGCGAUUCUGGGCCAUGUAAACAAAAUGCUUAUGCAUCCUAAUAAGGCAAGCCUAUCAUUUCUUUGCUUUGAUUGAAACAAAUGUGUCAAUUUUCCAAGCCUUUGUCUGGCGAAUCCAGUGUUUGGAUGUUGAUAAAUGAUCACAUCAUGUGUUUGGAAACUGCUGCUCUAUUCAGAAUUUCGGAGUCACAGUCUGGGAGUGCUCAGACAGCCUCCCUAGCCAUCCACCAACAAGAUGUUCCACACUUUCCCAGGGCCUGGAAAAGGCUGUCGCUACAGGGCUACGGAGGAAGUCUAAAUGGGAUGGAGCUUCUUAGGGGAGUGGAUGUUGAAACUCUGAUGCCGGGGUGCAUAAAUAAUUAGAAUAAUGGAAAUGUAUAGAAUUUACCAGGUGCCAAGGACUUCCUGUGUUUUAAGUCCAUGCCUCUUAGUUCCUGCUGCCAUUGCUACUGCAGAUAAGGGGGGGGACUUGGCCACCUGCAGAUGGUAAGGGAUGGAGCUGAGCUUGGACUCCAGGCAGGCGGUUCCCCUGGUCCCUUUAAACCCUUUCAGGUGGCCCCCCUCCCCCUGCUGUUUAAUGAACACACUGUGUUUCCUCACAGUUACAUUUUGUCUUGCAUAAUUGUUUUGGGAAUGACAGCAGUUUUUCUUGAAAGACUCCAGCUACUAGUAUGAGAGACAUUUCCUUAAAAUAAAGCAACAAUAAGAUCUAUGUUUU